rnacentral:lncRNA from 1 species
GUAAACAGCCCUGGGACAAAGAACAGACUACGGGUAUUGCCUUCUUAAUCAACAAUAAAGUAUUAGUUGGCUUCCAGGCAGACACCACUGACUUUCAAGAGAAAGGCACGGGAGUAAGGAAGUAAAGAAUUCAGGGCAAACGUCGAGCUUUCCUCUGGGCUCCAAUGUAAAAGAAGUGGAUAGCGGCUGACUAGUGUACAUAUUAUGUAUGCAGACUUUGAAGGAAUCCCCCUUGUUUUUAGCUGUUCUUCCAUUGCUCCUGGAGACUCUGAGCUCAGAGAUUUUCUAGGCUCUGAUGGGCAGAGUGGCUCGUUUCCUCCCUGAAGUUUCCUUCAUGCCACAUUCUGGAUUACAACCUCCUCCAAAGAGUGUCAUCUGUCAAUAUAAUGUCAUCUCUUGAUUUCUCUGUUUUCUUUUCUUCACUAUAAUAGGUAAUUCUAUGUUUUAGCAGAGCUAAAUACAUCGCCUUCAUCUUCAA